CUUGACUGUAUCCUGGAAUUGGGUUCAGGCUUUUCUUGCGCAGCCUAGGUGGGAGGCUAUGAAGAUUUCCUUCCGGGGAAGUUGGAGCCAUCAGUGAGAGACCACUCUGGAGAGGCUAGAGUCCUAAUGGUGAUCCUUGAAUCAGGACACUUGACAGUUUCAGGUGGGCAGUUUUUCUGGGGCGGAAGCCUCAUAAAGGGUAACUGAGGCGCGCAAAGGUCCCCUCAGUCUGGACGGGAAUCAGACAACGAGUGUAAAGGCAAAAGGGGGCUUGACUGCAAGACCUACAAGUCGAGCAGGAGCGAAAGCUGGCCUUAGUGAUCCGACGGUACCGUGUGGAAGGGCCGUCGCUCAACGAAUAAAAGUUA
rnacentral:rRNA from 1 species